AUCAUUGUUUCACUAUUUAUGAAUAGUAUGUAUCUCGUAUUGUUUAACAAACAUUGAUUUAAGCAUAUCAAUAGAUACAUGCAUUUAUUGUAUCUAGAUAAUUAAUUAAUUUGAUGUUUUUUUUAGGAUCCAUUCCGAGUGGAAUAUGUUAUCGAGAUAGCACAACAAGAUAGUGAAAGUUUGAAUUGUGGUGUAUUUGUAGCUGUUUAUGGCGAGUAUCUGAGCGAAGGAUUAGGCAUUCGCUCAUUGGGUAUUGAUGCUCAAUACCAUCGCAUUAGAUAUGCCACUCUUUUGUGCAAGUAUGGCUCUGUAAAGGCGGAAAAAGGGUACUUUGGUGAGAAUGGCGAUCCACCAAGGCCAAGGAGCAACUUCACACAAAAAGAAAAAGUUUGUGCUUUGCAUAUUGAGUAGUUAUUUACUUGUUGGCUAGUUGACUGUUAUAUAGUUUGAUGAUGUUAGUACAUGUUGUCAUUAUUUUUUUAAGAUGCUUUUCAAUAUCAUGGAUUCUACCUUAUCACCAAUGAUUGCCAUAUGACUAUUUCAGAUUAUGAUAUAUUAUUAUUUUGUUGUA